rnacentral:rRNA from 1 species
UAACGACGUAAGAGUUUGAUCCUGGCUCAGAUUGUAACGCUGGCGGCAGGCUUAACACAUGCAAGUCGAGGCGGGAAAGGUAGCUUGCUACCUAACUUAGCGGCGGACGGGUGAGUAAUACUUAGGAAUCUGCCCUAUUAGUGGGGGACAACAGUUGGAAACGACUGCUAAUACCGCAUACGCCCUACGGGGGAAAGCAGGGGAUCUUCGGACCUUGCGCUAAUAGAUGAGCCUAAGUCAGAUUAGCUAGUUGGUGGGGUAAAGGCCUACCAAGGCGACGAUCUGUAGCGGGUCUGAGAGGAUGAUCCGCCACACUGGGACUGAGACACGGCCCAGACUCCUACGGGAGGCAGCAGUGGGGAAUAUUGGACAAUGGGGGGAACCCUGAUCCAGCCAUGCCGCGUGUGUGAAGAAGGCCUUUUGGUUGUAAAGCACUUUAAGCGAGGAGGAGGCUCCUUUAGUUAAUACCUAAAGUGAGUGGACGUUACUCGCAGAAUAAGCACCGGCUAACUCUGUGCCAGCAGCCGCGGUAAU